rnacentral:rRNA from 1 species
UAGCAUAUCAAUAAGCGGAGGAAAAGAAACUAACAAGGAUUCCCCUAGUAGCGGCGAGCGAAGCGGGAAGAGCUCAAAUUUAUAAUCUGGCACCUUCGGUGUCCGAGUUGUAAUCUCUAGAAAUGUUUUCCGCGUUGGACCGCACACAAGUCUGUUGGAAUACAGCGGCAUAGUGGUGAGACCCCCGUAUAUGGUGCGGACGCCCAGCGCUUUGUGAUACAUUUUCGAAGAGUCGAGUUGUUUGGGAAUGCAGCUCAAAUUGGGUGGUAAAUUCCAUCUAAAGCUAAAUAUUGGCGAGAGACCGAUAGCGAACAAGUACCGUGAGGGAAAGAUGAAAAGCACUUUGGAAAGAGAGUUAACAGUACGUGAAAUUGUUGGAAGGGAAACGCUUGAAGUCAGACUUGCUUGCCGAGCAAUCGGUUUGCAGGCCAGCAUCAGUUUUCCGGGAUGGAUAAUGGUAGAGAGAAGGUAGCAGUUUCGGCUGUGUUAUAGCUCUCUGCUGGAUACAUCUUGGGGGACUGAGGAACGCAGUGUGCCUUUGGCGGGGGUUUCGACCUCUUCACACUUAGGAUGCUGGUGGAAUGGCUUUAAACGACCCGUCUUGAAACACGGACCAAGGAGUCUAACAUGCUUGCGAGUAUUUGGGUGUCAAACCCGGAUGCGUAAUGAAAGUGAAUGGAGGUGGGAACCGCAAGGUGCACCAUCGACCGAUCUGGAUUUUUAAUGAUGGAUUUGAGUAAGAGCACGUAUGUUGGGACCCGAAAGAUGGUGAACUAUGCCUGAAUAGGGCGAAGCCAGAGGAAACUCUGGUGGAGGCUCGUAGCGGUUCUGACGUGCAAAUCGAUCGUCAAAUUUGGGUAUAGGGGCGAAAGACUAAUCGAACCAUCUAGUAGCUGGUUCCUGCCGAAGUUCCCCUCAGGA